rnacentral:rRNA from 1 species
UCUCCUACGGGAGGCAGCAGUGGGGAAUAUUGCACAAUGGGCGAAAGCCUGAUGCAGCGACGCCGCGUGAGCGAAGAAGUAUUUCGGUAUGUAAAGCUCUAUCAGCAGGGAAGAUAAUGACGGUACCUGACKAAAAAGCACCGGCUAAAUACGUGCCAGCACCCGCGGU